UGGUGAGUGCCCUUCAGGAAAAUUGCUUUUAAGACAAAGGCCUACGCUGCCGUCACUGGUUAAGGCCUCCGAAAGUGAAGGGUCUCCAGGACAGAGAAUGCCCCUCUGCCACCUUCGGAGGGGCAGUUGCCCUGCUGGCCGACACUGU
rnacentral:snoRNA from 1 species